UACGGGGGGGGCAAGCGUUGUUCGGAAUUACUGGGCGUAAAGGGCUCGUAGGUGGCCAACUAAGUCAGACGUGAAAUCCCUCGGCUUAACCGGGGAACUGCGUCUGAUACUGGAUGGCUAGAGAUUGGGAGAGGGAUGCGGAAUUCCAGGUGUAGCGGUGAAAUGCGUAGAUAUCUGGAGGAACACCGGUGGCGAAGGCGGCAUCCUGGACCAACACUGACGCUGAGGAGCGAAAGCAUGGGGAGCGAACAGG
rnacentral:rRNA from 1 species